UAGCUGUGAAGAAAUUUACGCAUCUGUGAUGGAGGGGUCCAUCACCUUUAUCUGGAUUAAGAUGAAAUCAUGCGUUUCUGAGCUU